GCCCCUUUAGCUCAGUCGGUAGAGCGUUUCCAUGGUAAGGAAGAGGUCUACGGUUCGAUUCCGUAAAGGGGCU
rnacentral:tRNA from 2 species